GACGAACGCUGGCGGCGUGCUUAACACAUGCAAGUCGAACGGUGAAGGGAUCAGCUUGCUGGUUCUGGAUGAGUGGCGAACGGGUGAGUAACACGUGAGUAACCUGCCCCCUUCUUAUGGAUAACCGCAUGAAAGUGUGGCUAAUACGGGAUAUUCUGCGCCUGCUGCAUGGUGGGUGUGGGAAUGAUUUUGUUUCGGUGGGGGUUGGGCUCGCGGCCUAUCAGCUUGUUGGUGGGGUGAUGGCAUCCCACGGCGGUGCCGGUUAUCCGGCCUGAGUGGGGGGACGGCCACACUGGGACUGAGACACUGCCCAGACUCCUACGGGAGGCAGCAGUGUGGAAUACUGCACAAUGGGCGCAAGCCUGAUGCAGCGACGCCGCGUGAGGGAUGCAGGCCUUCGUGUUGUGAACCUCUUUCGCCAGUGAAGCAGGCCUGUCCCUUGUGGGUGGGUUGACGUUAGCUGGAUAAGAAGCGCCGGCUAACUACGUG
rnacentral:rRNA from 1 species